CCUCCCUCUAAAAGCACUCUGUGUGGGGAAGAUGAGAGCCAGAGCAAAGCUCAGAGGAACCAACCUGGACCUGGAUCUGGAUCCAGCUGUGUGUCCUUCAGGAGUGGUGAAUCAGAGGAUUUACCUCCUCUCUUCAAGUCCAUCAGUUCACGAGUGGAACAGUUCGAACAGAGAUCUGGAUCUGGAUCCAGCUGUGUGUCCUUCAGGAGUGACGACUCAAAGGGUAAAAAUCCUGACUUCAGGUCCAUCAGUUCACGAGUAGAACAGUUUCAACAGAGAUCUGGAUCUGGAUCCAGCUGUUUGUCCUUUAGGAGUGACGACUCAAAGCAUUAUAAUCCUAACUUCAAGUCCAUCAGUUCAGCAGUGGAACAAGUGGACCAGCAGAGCUCAGAGACUCCCAGUGGUCCGUCUGUCCAGCAGCAUCAAAC